rnacentral:rRNA from 1 species
ACGUAGGGUGCGAGCGUUAAUCGGAAUUACUGGGCGUAAAGCGUGCGCAGGCGGUGUUGUAAGACAGAUGUGAAAUCCCCGGGCUCAACCUGGGAACUGCGUUUGGGACUGCAAGACUGGAGUGUGGCAGAGGGAGGUAGAAUUCCUCGUGUAGCAGUGAAAUGCGUAGAUAUGAGGAGGAACACCGAUGGCGAAGGCAGCUUCCUGGGUUAGUACUGACGCUCAUGCACGAAAGCGUGGGGAGCAAACAG